rfam:Myotis lucifugus cont2.15628, whole genome shotgun sequence.
GUGUGUAGGACUCUAUUCCAAGAUGUGUCAUCCAUGUAGCUAAAAAUAUGUUUGGCACCUCUUUGAAUGAAGUAAUACACAA